AUUGAACGCUGGCGGCAGGCCUAACACAUGCAAGUCGAACGAGUGGCGGACGGGUGAGUAAUGUCUGGGAAACUGCCCGAUGGAGGGGGAUAACUACUGGAAACGGUAGCUAAUACCGCAUACCAUCGGAUGUGCCCCGAUGGGAUUAGCUUGUAGGUGAGGUAACGGCUCACCUAGGCGACGCUCCCUAGCUGGUCUGCGAGGAUGACCAGCGACCUUGGAACGGAGACACGGGCCAGACUCCUACGGGGUGUGUCAGUGGGGAAUAGUGGACAUGGGGCGCAAUCCUGAUGCAGCCAGGCCGCGUGUAUGAGGAAGGACUGCGGGUUGUAAAGUACUUUCAGUUGGGAGGCGUUACCCUCAGAAGAAGCACCGGCUAACUCCGUGCCAGCAGCCGCGGUAAUAC
rnacentral:rRNA from 1 species